GCUGAUGUAGUUUAAAAAAUAUUGGUCUUGUAAGCCAAAGAAGGGAAUAAUAAACCCCUUCAGUUCA
rnacentral:tRNA from 1 species